rnacentral:rRNA from 1 species
UACGGAGGGUGCAAGCGUUAUCCGGAUUCACUGGGUUUAAAGGGUGCGUAGGAGGGCAGGUAAGUCAGUGGUGAAAUCUUCGAGCUUAACUCGGAAACUGCCGUUGAUACUAUCUGUCUUGAAUACCGUGGAGAUGAGCGGAAUAUGUCAUGUAGCGGUGAAAUGCUUAGAUAUGACAUAGAACACCAAUUGCGAAGGCAGCUCGUUACACGAAUAUUGACUCUGAGGCACGAAAGCGUGAGGAUCAAACAGG